GAGUUGAGAAAGAUAGAAUGAGUGAGUGGACGGUUUUAUGUUGAUUUGUUUCUUGCAAUGCGUUUUACAUGAUCUGUUUAGUGGGGUCCGUGAGUUUACUGGUUAGAUGAUUGCAUGAUAUGCUCGUGUCUAUUAAACUUGUUAAAGUAGAUGGAAUGAUCUCGUUUAAUACCAGUAGGUGAUAUAAAGCAUAUGGUUAUAAAUAGUUGAAUACGUAUCCAUAAACACCAUGUUUUAUACCAUUAAUUACUCCCUAAUAAUUCAUUGAUGGGAAACAUGUGUUUUCUUAUUGCAGCUUGUGUACACUCGUAGUGUCAAGAGAAAUGGACGAGCCAUCUAAGGUUUCAUCACAACACGAGGUAUCCUUUCGGGUUUCGUUUAAUUUUAUUUUGAAUAUUACAAAUGAUACUAUCCUUUGGUUGCAUAGUUAUAAAAGGCGCUAGGCGCACUCAAGGCGCAUAGGUCUCGCCUGGGGCCUAGGUGUAAUGUGAAAAAAAUGCGAGGGCCUGAGAAAAAAAAGCGC
rnacentral:lncRNA from 1 species